CCGCAUUCUCUUUGUGACUUUAGACUACUCGUCAAACAACACAAAACGUGAGUGAUAAAACUUUGAACUACUAGAAACCCAGUGAUAGAAUCAAAAGCAAAGAACAAAGCUUCACUUGCAUACUGCAGAACUAUUGAAUAACCACAGAUCCAAGAACCAGUAGGCAAAUAGUUUGUGGUGCCAAAAUCGAACAUGUUAGAGCUAGAAGGAACCUGAUAACACCCGGAAUAGAACCUGCAUACUGCAGUAAAAGAGUUAUUGAAAGACUCAGGAGAACAAUUCUAGAAUCAAUGUGAUUUUUGUUAAACAAUUCUUGAAUCGCA
rnacentral:lncRNA from 1 species